GUGCUCGCUUUGGCAGCACAUAUACUAAAAUUGGAACGAUACAGAGAAGAUUAGCAUGGCCCCUGCGCAAAGAUGACACACACA
ensembl:snRNA Gm25781 predicted gene, 25781